AUGGGUGCAUGGCUCAUCUGCUGUGUAGGACUUGGCCUCCUUCAGGCAGGCUUUGGUGAUGCAGCUGUUACUCAGAUUCCAAGACAUCUGAUCAAAAUGAAAGGACAGAAAGCAACGAUGAAGUGUAGCCCUGAAAAGGGACACACUGCUGUUUACUGGUACCAACAGAAACAGGACAAAGAGUUAAUGUUCCUGAUUUACUUUCAGAAUAAACAGCCUCUUGAUCAAAUAGACAUGGUCAAGGAGCGAUUCUUGGUUGAGUUUCGCUCAGAUUCGAACUGCAGCCUGGAAAUCAAAAGUUCAGAGUCACGAGACUCUGCCCUGUACCUCUGUGCCAGCAGUCAGUCCACAGCACUGAAAUAUGCAUUCCCCUCAGUUCACAAACCCACAAUGCAGACAACUUAA